rnacentral:tRNA from 1 species
GCAUAGGUGGUUCAGUGGUAGAAUUCUCGCCUUCCAUGCAGGAGACUCAGGUUCAAUUCCUGGACAAUGUA